UACGUAGGGGGCUAGCGUUGUCCGGAAUCAUUGGGCGUAAAGCGCGUGUAGGCGGUCCGGUAAGUCCGCUGUGAAAGUCGGGGGCUCAACCCUCGGAUGCCGGUGGAUACUGUCGGGCUUGAGUACGGAAGAGGCGAGUGGAAUUCCUGGUGUAGCGGUGAAAUGCGCAGAUAUCAGGAGGAACACCAAUGGCGAAGGCAGCUCGCUGGGACGGUACUGACGCUAAGGCGCGAAAGCGUGGGGAGCAAACAGG
rnacentral:rRNA from 1 species